CCUAAUGGCCUACUUCCUAUGCAAGACAUGUUAGAAUGUGGCUAUGUCGAGGACACAGGCUUUGUUUGGCUCAAAUCCAAGAAAAAGACACAACACAAGUUUGAAAAAAUUGAGAGAUCAGUCCAAUAUGCAACUGAAGUGACAGCCUAUGUGGAGCCCAACAAGAUCAAGAAACUUACUGGGGUUAAAGCUAAAGAGCUUCUUAUGUGGCUAACACUUACUGAAAUCUGUGUUGAUGAUCCACCAACUGGCAAAAUCCAUUUCAAGACUGCUACUGGACUUUCUAGGACUUUUCCUGUUUCAGCUUUUGAACUUGAUGAGCCCAAGAAGGAAGUCGAAGAGGAAGUGAAAGAUGAAGUAAAAGAAGAAGUGAAAGAAGUGAGUGCUGCUGUUGUUGCUCCACUGGAAGUGAAAGAGGCGUAAGAAAAGAAUUGUUUAGUUUGCUUAAUAUAAUUAGUCUAAUCUUUGCUUGUUAUUGAGAAAGAAAUUAAAGCAAAGUUUUAUUUUGAUCAUAAAGUUGAGGAUGAUGAUCGAUAUAUAUAUCAUCUAUCCGUCUUGAUGUACUCAUGAUCAAGUGGCAAAUUAUGUUAUAUCUUCUUUGAAUAUUGUGAUACUAUAAAUAAACUUAAUACUAUAAACCAAGAAUGUAGUUUCAUGAAGGCUUGAUCAUAUUACUUCCUUGGAGACUAGAGGAAAAGGGUCAAAUUUGCUCAUGUAUUGUCUAAAAUUGAGCAAGUAUAUUUCAUGAGUAUUUUCGCCAGCCUCAUACACUGCAAAAAUUAUCAUAUGAUAGCUAGCUCAACCAUAAUUACUAAUAAAUCGAAUUUGACGUUUCAAUGAAGCCCCCUUGUAAUUAAUACGCGUUUGAUAUUUCUUGCCUACUCUUUUUAGAAAGUUUUAUUUUUUCGCAUUAAGUUAUGUUGGAUGUGCGAAGAAAAAUCACAUUGGUAGCUUAAAAGAUUGGAAAAUUAUGUGUAAGGUGUAAGAUUAUCUCUUAAUGGUGUGAGACCUGUUGGAGAAAAUCGUGUGGAUUUGGAUCAAAACGGAUAAUAUCACAACAUGUAAGAGUAUUUUUGUGUUGACUAAGCCUUUAUAUCAGAGUUGGGUUCAGCGGAAUGAGUAUGAGGACGUGGCAGAGUGAUGGGGGUGCAGUGCAGGGCUUGAUUUGCUUAUCCUUACGAGCUUGGAGAUGCGCACACACACGAGAAGAAGCUAGUUACGGGCUUCGGUUGCCAUAAAAAUACUCGGACGAUGUGGGUGACACAAAGUGAAUCUCGGUGACCCGUUGAUCGUGGUGAUAUGCCACGUGGAACUUAGUUUGAGAGGGAGAUUUUGAGUAUGCGGAUAAAAGUCCUAUAUUGACAGAUGAAAGGAUUCGGAAGCUACAUAUUAAGAUGCAAAAUCUUUUAAUGAUGUGAGUGUCACGACCCUAGUCGAGGCCCUAGCCGCGAUGAGCAUCCCGAAGCAUAAAGGCCCGGGCACCUAUCUCUAUCUGACAAUCAUGCACAAUGAUCAUACAAUAUGAAGAAAUGCGAAAAAUUAUCAUACGGAGACAUGGUCAAUCUCAUAAGUAAACUGAACAAUUCGAAAAGAAGUGCUUAACAUUCAAAACACAUGACACCAGUCUGUGAAAUAUCUAAUAACAUGAAAACAAAUGUCUGUCUAAAAACUGGGACAAGGGCCCCAGUCGAACCAUGAAACUAAAAUAAAAUAGCAAAUGCCCAACAACCAAGGCCUUCGAAAUAAGGGAGGUUCACCAAUUGCGAACUCCGGAUAGACAAUCUACUACUUAGCGGGAUUCCGGGACUGUGCCUCAGAUCCUUAAAUAUAGGGGGUCGAUAAAGAUGUACUGAUACACAGAGCAAUCCAAAAUAAUGUACUUUUAUACAACAUAAGUGAGAGCAGUUCAUAAAAUAUUUUUCAUACUUAAAACAUUUUUCAUACACACGGGCAUACUUAAAAGACUUUGAAACAUUUCUUGAAAACACGACCCACUCUUUAUCUUACUUCUAAGUUAAGUGGUACAUCCAACAACUCUACAAUCCCAUGGUUUAUAUGGAAUCCGCCCUUAACUCGGCGGCCAAGCCCCCAACCUAAGUUUAUCGCAAGGGUUGGAGUCUGUAUCUCUAAUACGCCAAGGGGCGCUAGGCCAGCGUACGAUCCCUCUUGGGGGCAUAAUAAGCCCAUAUUAGCAAAACAUGGUUCCCAACAAUGAGCCCUUACACUCAUAUGCCUUCUUCGGGUAACCACUUAACUCUCUUUAAGCCCAUUUUUAACUUUUUAAGACAUGCAUUCUUUGAAAUCAAAAUCUGAAAAUCUUACUCUGUUAUGGCAUUCAUCUGAUUGGUAUCGUCAUACCAAGACUUGCAAGUCAUAUCUCUACAUCGUAUAUUAUCAUGUUACAACUCUUUCGUUUAAACAAAUGUUAUGUUACAACUCUUUCGUUCAAACAAAUGUUUAGACCACCAAGUCAUUCAAACAGUACAAUAGGAUUUGUAUAUCGAAAUACAUGCAGCUUAUGCAGAGAUUCUCUCUUUCAACUCUUAAACAUACGGUGGAACAUUACUUUGUAGCAAAACAUACAACUCUUUAAAUUAUCUCUCUUCACUUAUAUCAACAAGAAACACCCUCUCUUUAGUUCAUAACAAAAAUCAAGUCUUAAACAAUAAUAAAGACAUUUGUAUCAUGCUUCUCAAUAUGCAAUUGAAUAAUUCAGAACAUAUGAAAAUCAAGAUACUUCAUAACAAGAGAGGGAGUAUAAAUCCUCAUGCUCUCAAUUCAAAUUUCAGAACAUAAAAUGCAUACAUAUAUAUAUGAGUAACACAAUUUCAAGGGGGGGCCUUAAGACCAAAACGUUAUCAUUAAAAGGGUUCACAAUACAUAAUUAUCAAUGUAAAUUCAAGACCAUUUGUAAAUAUGAUUUCUCAACAUUCAAACAUUAUUAAAAAUGAUUUCACCAUUCCCAUGUAGUUUAGGAAAAUCCCACGUACCUUAGAUUACUUAGUUCGGAGAAUAGAAUUCGAAUCUUGACUUGUUUCUUGAAAAUCUUGAACUUAAAGGUAGAUUCUUGAUCUUUGGGAGAGGAGUUAGGGUUUUAUUUUGAAGGAAUUAGAGUAACUUUUGGAUUACUAUGCCCUAAUCACGACUAAAUCUCGUGUUAUGGCUGAGUUAUGACGAGGGAAAAAGACUGGAACACCCUGUUGGACCUGAGAAAAAAUAUUAAAACGAACUGGACGCCUGAAGCGUUAAGCGACGCGCCGCGUCGUUCCUGCCGACGCGAUUCAUGGCGUGGUGCGACGACAUCACUUUGGGCUUCUUUUUAGCUCAUCAAAACAUGUCACAAACGUCGUCCGAAAAAUCCAAAACUUCUCCGAGACACCCCCUUUACACCCCUGAACAUGAAUCAACUAAAAAAUCUACGUCUCGGGGUCGGAAAGAUUGAUUUAAAAAUCGUUGAAGUUUAGGAGCUUAAAAUAUGACUAAGUCCUUUUUAACACUUAGAAAAAUUUCAGGUUGUUAUCUCUUUAAGUAUGCUAUUAAGGGUGGUACUAAGUCGAGAAUGCUAUGGGGUGUUACAGUGAGACUUUUUGAAGAAAAUCGUAUGGACUCGACCAAAGUAGACAAUGUCGAGUACCUUAGGGCUGACUGAGUCCAACAAGCUAAGUUAAAUGAUACAACUAUUACUGAUUAAAUCCUAAUGGGGAAAAGAUAUUUCAGUGACCUCAUCAGCUAAGGACAAUGGCUCUUAAUCAGGUUAGGGAAUUUUAGGUACAAACCCCAACUCUUUUCUUACUCAUCAUGGGCAUCAUUUAGUUUUUCCUCAUUUCAAUGGGGAGAAUUUGAAAACGUGGUUGUAUAGGAUUGAAUAAUUUUUUCCCAUUAAUAGCACUCCUUGUGAUCAACGGGUGCACUUGGUUACCAUGAACUUAGAGGGCAAAGCCUUCGCUGGCACCAUUCCUUUUUUAAGUGUAGUGAUUCCAUUUAGCAUCCUCCUUGGGAGGAGUAUAUAACCAUUUUAUCUGAAAUAUUUGGUGAUGAUUUUGUGAAUCCCAUGCUCGAAUUGAAACAAUUUAGGCAAACUGGUUCUGUUAGGGAAUGCCAAUUUGCUUUUUAUAGAUUGUUAGCCCAAUGCAGUUUCACUACUGACCAAGCUAUUUCCUGUUACCUCGGUAGACUGAAGGAUGAAUUAUUUAAUUCAGUCAUGAUGCAUGAACCACAAACCUUGCCAAAAACUUACAGACUAGCUCGUUUAGCUGAAGCUGCUCUAGCUGUUUCUCACAGAUCCCCAAAACCAUCCUCAAUACAUGUUCCUCUCCAACCUUUUCGAAAAACUUCGCCUACUGACCUAGCCUUGCCCAAAUCGUCCUCCUUCUCUAAUAGUCACCCAAACAAAGGACCAUAUGCUAAGACUCUAAAUAACCAACAUUAACCUACUUUUUCCAAGUCCAGAAGAACUAUAUCACCAGCUGAAUUGUAGGCCAAAAGAGCUAAGGGUUUAUGUUACUUUUGUGAUGAAAAGUACACGUUUGGUCAUAAAUGCCCUCUACCUAAGCAGUUGUUUGCAUGGAUUUGGAGUACCCUGAUGAGGAGCCUCUUGAAGAGUCAUCACUUGCUGCUGAAACUGUUGUCUCUACUGGUGAAUAGUUGGAAGCUGGUGUUGACAAUCCUGUUAUAUUUCUUUGUGCCUUGAGUGGCUUGCAAGGUGCUCAACUAUUCAUGUGGUGGGGUAUAGUUGUAAGCGACCUUUACAGGUGUUAUUAGAUAGUGGUAGUACUUAUAAUUUAUUGAUGUUGAAGCUGCUAAAUGAAUUAGUUGUCAAAUUAUUCCAACUAAGGUGGGAUAUGUGAAUUUAGGCAAUAACUCCAUGGAAACUACAUCAGGGGUUGUGAGAAAUUUUUAUUGGAUUCUCCAGGGUACUACUUAUACUGCUGACUUGCUUGUGUUUUCUGUAGGUAGAUAUGAUGUGGUUCUUAGUGCUUUGUGGAUGAAGACAUUGGGACCAGUAACUAUGGAUUUUAAUGCCCUAACUAUAUCUUUUUACUAUCAAGGUAAACAUCACUUAUUGAGGGGUGUGUUUAAGGAAUGCAAACAUUCUACUACUAAGGCUGUGAAUAAAUGGAACAUUGAAGGUGUUCAAAUUUUCAUGUUACAGGUUCAACUAACCAGUUCUGAUGAGGUUACCGAGGGUUAUUUUCAUGCUUUGCAGUUGAGUAGCACCAAACAAUUCCCCCUCUUAUUAAUCAGCUCCUUCUUCAAUACAACAAAAUCUUUAGCAAUCCUGUAGCUUUACCUCCUAGAAGAGGACCUUUUGAUCAUAGAAUUCCCCUGCAGCCUAGGACUAAACCCAUCAACUUAAGACCUUAUAGGUAUUCUUCCAUGAAGAAGGACAUUGUGGAAACACUAGUGAAGGACAUGUUAGAUCAAGGUGUAAUUCAGUACAGUGAUAGCCCAUUUGCCUCUUCAGUAGUACUUGUAGGCAAGAAGGAUGGUACUUGUAGGCUAUGUGUGGAUUAUAGGGAACUGAACAAUGCCACUGCGAAGGAUAAAUUUCCCAUUCCUAUUAUUGAUGAUCUUUUAGAUGGACUAGAUGGUUCAUCUAUCUUUUCUAAAAUUGAUCUUAGGUCUGGCUAUCACCAGAUCAGAAUAGUGCCUGAAAAUGUACCCAAGACUACCUUUAGAACUCACAUGGGACAUUAUGAAUAUUUUUUUAUACCCUUCGGUUUAACCAAUGCUCCCUCAACCUUCCAGUGUCUUAUGACCCACUUGUUCCAACCAUUCUUGAGGAAGUUUGUGCUGGUCUUUUUUUAUGAUAUUUUAAUUUAUAGUUUAUCCUUAUAGGAUCAUGUAUCUCACUUGUAACAAAUAUUUAAUGUGAUGGUGCAGCAUAGAUUAUUAGCUAAGAGAUCUAAAUAUGUUUUUGGUGUUGAUAAUGUUGAGUAUCUAGGCCACUUUAUUUCCAAAGCUAGUGUGGCCACUGAUCCUAAGAAAAUUGCAGCUAUUCAGUCUUGGCCUCAACCUACUACACUGAAGCAAUUGAGAGAGUUUCUUGGAUUAUCUGGUUACUAUAGGACGUUUAUCAUAAGUUAUGGACUUAUCAGUAGACCUCUCAAAGAUCUCUCUUAAAAAGGAUAAUUUUCAUUGGUCAGAAGAAACUGAAUAUGCUUUUUUUACUCUAAAGUCUGCCAUCAUUACAGUUCUUGUUUUGACUCUUCCAAAUUAUGCUAUUCCCUUUGUUGUUAAAACUGAUGCUAGUGUCUCGAGCAUUGGUGCGGUCUUGAUGCAAUCAGGACACCCUAUAGCCUUUAUUAGUAAAGGUUUGGCCCCUAAACAUAUUGUCUAGUCUGUCUAUGAAAGGGAACUUUUAGCGUUGAUGUUUGUUAUGACCAAAUGGUCACAUUAUUUUAUGGGACAACACUUUACUGUAAGAACUGAUCAGAAGGCUCUGAAGUUCUUACUUGAUCAAAAAAUACACACUGAUUCACAAGUUAGAUGGCUUGCUAAGCUUCUUCCUUUUGAUUUUGAGAUUCAAUAUAAGAAAGGCAAGGAAAAUGUUGUUGUUGAUGCAUUAUCUAGGAUUCAUGAAGCUGAGCUCAUGUCUAUUAUGGUAUCUUCUAUUCAAGCUACUCUCUGGCAGGAGAUUGAAGCUAGCUGGUCUGCUGAUCUUGAGUUACAAACACCCAUCCAAUCCCUCACUUUUGCUCCUUAAAGCUCCUUCACUUGGUUCAAUGGUCAGUUGAGGAGGAAAGGUAAGUUAUUGGUAGGAAAAGAUACAACACUGAGAACCAAGAUCAUCUCACUUUGGCAUUCUACUUCAACAGGGGGCACUCUGGUAUUGAUACUACUACCAGGAAAGUAUUAGCUUAUUUUUACUGGAAGGGCAUUAGGAAGGAUAUCUUGGACUUCAUUCAUAAAUGCACUACCUGUCAGAGGAACAAGUAUGACACUGUUGAAUCUCCUGGUCAUAAACAGUCUCUCCCUAUUCUCUCUCUUCCUUGGACUGAUAUUACCAUGGAUUUCAUUGAAGGGCUUCCAAAAUCCAAGACUAAAACUGUCAUUUGGGUAAUUGUUGAUCAACUUACCAACUAUGGACACUUCAUUCCUCUUUCCCAUCUUUAUACAGCUCAAUCCUUGGUUCCUAUUUUUUUAUACCACAUUUUUAAACUUCAUGGAUUUCUGGCUUCCAUCACUAGUGAUAGGGAUCCCAUCUUUAUCAGUUCCUUUUGGAAGGAGUUCUUUACUGCUCAGGGGGUCACUUUGCAAACUUCCACUGCCUACCAUUCACAAACUGAUGGCCAAAGUGAGGUCCAAAAUAGGUGCCUGGAGACUUAUUUAAAAUGUUUUUGUUUAGAUUCUCCUCAUGAUUGGGUUUCUUUUCUUGGCUUAGCUGAAUGGUGGUACAACUCUUCUUAUCACUCUUCUAUAAAAACAUCUCCUUUUGAACUCUUGUAUGGUUUUCCACCUCCCCUGCAUCUUCCUUACUUACCUGGUGAUUCAGCCACGGUUUCUGUUGAAGAAGUGCUUCUUUCUAGAGAAUUCAAGUUGCAAAUGGCUAAGUUUAAUCUUAUGAGAGCUCAACAGAGAAUGAGAGAUCAGGCAGAUUCUCACAGAACUGAUAGAUAGUUUGCAGUAGGUGAUUGGGUAUUUGUCAAACUCUAGAGUUACAGACAAUCAUCCUUAGCUUCUUUUCUCUAUCAUAAGCUCACUUCUAGGUAUUUUGGACCUUAUCCUAUAGUUGCGAAGGUUGGUGCAAUAGCUUAUACUCUUUUGUUGCCUCCUGAAGUUUUGUUGCAUCCUACAUUUCACAUUUCCCAACUCAAGUAUUGCCAUGUUGUUCCUUCUGAGAUUAUUCAUCCUCUAGUGAUCAAUUUGGCCAGCCCUCUUUGUCCUACUCCUGAAGCAGUGUUAGAUAAGAGAAUGAUCAAACGUGGUAACAAGGUCGUAUCUCAGUGGUUGAUCAAAUGGACAAACCUGGACCCUUCUUAUGCUACUUGGGAAUUAGUUUCAAUUUUGAAGACCAGGUUUCCUUCAUUCACCCUUGAGGACAAGAGUGUAGCUCCACAGGGGAGUAUUGAUACAACUAUUACUGAUUAAAUCCUAAUUUGGCUGGAAAUUCAAUUAUAUCAAAAGUUGUUAUUUGGCGGGAAAAUUAGUUACUAGGCAUGUUUUGCAUUUUGCUAAUUCCAGCUCAUUUAUGUAUUUCCUUUAUUUCCAAAAUAGUAUAAGUAGCAGCUCCUCAAGUUGUAAUCACACUUUUGGAAUGUCAAUGAAAUAGUUCUCCUCUAUCUCUUUUCCUAUCUUCUCUAUUCUCUCUUCUCCCAACUUCUUUGUAUCCCUCUUCCUGUUGCUCUGUUCUUCGCAAUCGAUAUCAGUUUUUGGUAUCAUUAGAUAGGGUGGCCUCUGGCCCCUGCUUGCAGGCUGUGUAUACGUACGUAAAUUAAAGAGCACCACCUAUAUACCUUCUCCAAUACAUUUGUUCUAAUACUAUUUCUAGGUUUAGCUUUUGAAGUUUGACUUUUUCUUUGAAGUGGUUUUAGUUGAAUUAAAAGCUUGGCUAUUACUCCCUCCGUCCUAGUUUACUCGUCUCAAAUUUUCUAAUUUGAUUUCUCAUUUUAAUUCUCAUUUUUCAUCAAUCAAGACAAGACAAAUUUUUUUUUUUUUUUACCCUUAGUAUUAAUUAUUUUUUCUCCAAAUUAAAAUGUAAACAACAUUUAAUAGGAAUACUAUGAUAAAGAAAUCAUGUUAUUAAUUGUUUUUCUUAAUUAAUGUGCAAUGUCAAAUUGAGACGGUAAAAUGGGAUGGAAGAAGUAGUAUUUAGCAUCAAUGACAUUUAUGAGACCCGCGUAGUUAUAUGUAAAAGUUGGAAAACAUAAUUAAGACGAAAGAAAAUUAAAUAAAGAGGAAACCAUAUGUUAAAGCGAAAGCUUGACCAAAAAGGUGCAAGAGCGGAGUGUUUACUACAAAUUUUUAAUUUAUGAAAAAUAAACAAGCACAAACAAAACUAAAGAAACAGGAAUAGUAUUAGAUAUCUUAAUCUCUUUCUGAAUAUCCACGAAUUUAUUAAAUAUUUGAGAUGCCUUUUCAAAAAGUAUAUAUCACCCUAUAAAUAAGCGUAAUUUAGAGUUCAAGAUAUAAUAGCUCCAAAUUAGAUUUAGGACAAAGUAACCUUCAGGAAUCUUAACAAGAUUAAGCUCAUCUCGUAAAGUCCUACUUAUAAAUUUUUCGAUGUGUAAUAACUUAUCACCACCUCGCUAGCUAGUAGGCUCACUUAGGUUAGGGUUCAGUUCUUACCAACAUCUGAUAUGUUAAUCUACAUUUAUCUAGCUAGAAGUCGGGCGAAUAAGAAUCAUUGCUUCUCUCUGCUAUUAAUUUCUUGUGUUCAUAUGGUGCCCAGUACGUUUAAUUAAUAUUUUCUUGAUUUAGUAUGAUGAUCAACUAAAAUGAACAAUGUAACGUAUAUCACGUGAGUGAGUACACAUUUAUCGUUGCUAGCUGCCAAGUAGAAUGGAGGGUGCAUGCAGAUGGUAUUGAAUUUGUUGUUGGUGUGAGUGUGGUGGUUGACAAUUGACAUUGAUUGGUCUGAAAACAUUAGCCCAUCACAUAAUAACUAUUUACUGUGUUCUGAGGAAAAGAUGGUGCUAGAAAAAUAAAUUUCAUCAAGCAGAAUAUAGGUUAACCUUCUCCAACUACUCACAUUACAGAUCAUUGCUACUGUAUUUGUUACUCCUUCCAACUGUUUCUUAUUUUUAUUUUUUAAAUUCUGCAUUAAAUGUUUCCAACCCCUACUUUUGCACAUUUAAUUUGUAGCACACUCCUCCAUCCAAUAUUCCAUAUUGUAGGACCAUUUUUUUUUUCAAUGCUCGGAUCACUCUUUUCCUAUCUUUGCUGGACUGCCAAGUUAAUGCUUUCAACACAAUUCUUCAAAAAAACAAAAAGCGUGCUUGUAGUACUGUAAUCCUUCGUCUCAAAAUAUACAAGUAUGAUUUUGGUUUAUGUCACGCUUUUUAAAUAAAUAAAUAUAAAACAUAAUUUAUUAUAUUACUCCUAUUUAUUAGUUUCUCUGUUGAAUUUUAAUUGUCUGUUUUGAACUUUGCAUGCCUCGUAAAAACAAUGACCAAUAUAAAUAUUUUACCGCAACAGUCAUAUUAAUUAAUUGAUGUAUGGUCUUAGAAAUAAAUAAUUAGUGUUGAGGAUAAAAUAUGAAAGAAAAAAAAUAUUUUCCUUUUGAUAUGCUAAAAGUACUUACAUUUGUAAACAAGUGCUUGCAGCGUGCCCAAUAAAAUUGUACUUAUUACAUUUGUAUAUACACUAUAUAUUAAUCCAUUCGUUACAAUUUAUGAAAAGAUAUUUGAUCAGGUACAAAAUUUUAGAGAAAAAAAUAUUCUUAAAAUUUAUAAUCUAAAAUAAAAUAAGUCAUAGAAAAUUAUGUGUCUAUAAUUCAUUUUAUUAAAAAUAAAUAAAAAAUUUAAAAUUAAAUUAUUACUAAUGCAUAAGCCAUUAAAGAUGUCUUGACUGGACACGCACAAUGUCAUGCAUUUUUCAUGUUUAGUGAUCGAGCAUACCAGGUUUCUCGCUUACUCUUUAAAUUGUCAAAUUUAAAAAGAAAACAAAUUAAUAAUUGUUUUAAAUUAUUGGUAUUUUUUUCCCGAUUUGCUUACCAAAUUUAAGUUUUACUUUUUUUUUGUAAGGAAAAUAAAAGUAAUUAUAAAUACUUUUACUUUUUCUUAAAAGAAAAUAUAAAAAAUUUUCAUAUUUGGCAAACCUCUUUUUUGAAGAAAAGGUUUUGUACAUCUAUAAAUAGAAAACCCCCUUCUCAUACCAUAACAUAAUAGCAUUCACAAUAUAGUCUUUUAACAUCUUCGUUUAGGGGGAGAUUUUCUCCCAAUAGGAUUUUAAGUUUUUUCAAUAUUAUUUUUAAUAUGUAGGUCGUUUGAUCAAACCAUGUUAAUAAUAUGUUUUUAGUAUUUAUUUUUCUUUGACAUCUGAAUGACCGUUUUAUUGUUUGCAAACUUUAAGCUUCAUGACGUCUUCUCAAUUUCGAACCCAACAUAAAUUACUUGUCAAUUUAUAAAAUCAAGAUAUGAUUUAAUUAAAUUAGUUCAGUUUACUCUCACAAUUAAUUUCUUUUGAAAGUGUAAAUUAGUUUGAAAAUGUUUUAAAAAAGUUUCUUAAUAAGAAGUAAAUCAGUAAAUCUAUCUUUUCGUUUAUAAAUUUUUAAAUGACGUGUAAAAACGAAAGAUGUACAACUAAUAUGAGAGGAAAGUACUGUUUCGCCUCAUCAUAUCACAGGGGCAUCUGGGAAAUUUGAUCCAAACCCAAGGGUAAACUCUCAUAUUCCCAUCUAUAUAUUAGAAGCCCUUUUACCUAUCCAUCUCAUUCCACAACAUCUAUUUCAUUACAAAACAAAUAUUGUGAGCCAAAAAAGAAAAAAAAAAAUGUCUCUUGUGACAGAUGAGAUCAGAGCCAGUGCAACAGAAUUCUACACUGGAAAUGAAAUGUGCCAAGAGAAAUCAAAGUUCUUGCUGACUGAAGUAGGCCUACCUAAUGGCCUACUUCCUAUGCAAGACAUGUUAGAAUGUGGCUAUGUCAAGGACACAGGUUUUGUUUGGCUCAAAUCCAAGAAAAAGACACAACACAAGUUUGAGAAAAUUGGGAGAUCAGUCCAAUAUGCAACUGAAGUGACAGCCUAUGUGGAGCCCAACAAGAUCAACAAACUUACUGGGGUUAAAGCUAAAGAGCUA
rnacentral:lncRNA from 1 species